rnacentral:rRNA from 1 species
AUUGAACGCUGGCGGUAGGCCUAACACAUGCAAGUCGAACGGCAGCACAGUAAGAGCUUGCUCUUACGGGUGGCGAGUGGCGGACGGGUGAGGAAUACAUCGGAAUCUACUUUUUCGUGGGGGAUAACGUAGGGAAACUUAUGCUAAUACCGCAUACGACCUACGGGUGAAAGCAGGGGAUCUUCGGACCUUGCGCGAUUGAAUGAGCCGAUGUCGGAUUAGCUAGUUGGCGGGGUAAAGGCCCACCAAGGCGACGAUCCGUAGCUGGUCUGAGAGGAUCAUCCGCCACACUGGAACUGAGACACGGUCCAGACUCCUACGGGAGGCAGCAGUGGGGAAUAUUGGACAAUGGGCGCAAGCCUGAUCCAGCCAUACCGCGUGGGUCAAGAAGGCCUUCGGGUUGUAAAGCCCUUUUGUUGGGAAAGAAAAGCAGCAGGUUAAUACCCCGCUGUUCUGACGGUACCCAAAGAAUAAGCACCGGCUAACUUCGUG